UGGGGAAUCUUCCGCAAUGGGCGAAAGCCUGACGGAGCAACGCCGCGUGAGUGAAGAAGGCCUUCGGGUCGUAAAGCUCUGUCUUAGAGGAAGAACAUUAUAUAUGUGAAUAAUGUAUAUAACUGACGGUACUCUUAGAGGAAGCUCCGGCUAACUACGUGCCAGCAGCCGCGGUAAUACGUAGGGAGCGAGCGUUGUCCGGAAUUACUGGGCGUAAAGGGCGUGUAGGCGGGGUUUUAAGCAGGAUGUGAAAACUAUGGGCUCAACCGAUAGCCUGCAUCCUGAACUGGAACUCUUGAGGGCAGGAGAGGAAAGUGGAAUUCCUAGUGUAGCGGUGAAAUGCGUAGAUAUUAGGAGGAACACCAGUGGCGAAGGCGACUUUCUGGACUGUACCUGACGCUGAGGCGCGAAAGCGUGGGGAGCAAACAGG
rnacentral:rRNA from 1 species